UCCAAGGUAUACAUAGGAUGUUUAUUUAGCAGCACAUGCUCCGCUUUAGCGUUUAGCAUCCGCUGUUACGCAUCCGAAUUUUCCAUCGAACCCAGUUUCAGGGUCAUUUUCAAACUUGGAACUUUGAAAAAUUGCACUACACAUCAUAACUGCACUGCAGAACAGCAAUUUUCGGAAAAAUUAGUUAUGCUAAUGUCUUGGGUGAUUGUUUUUGGGUGCGUUUCAAUGUUUAAUGUUUGAUCGCUCUUAUUAGUGCAUAUUUGCGCAGGUGUAUAUUUUGGGGAAAUUGGCUGUCGCCGAAUAAAUACACGUAUGUAGCUGCUCGCGGGAUCAGUCCUUAUCAGUGUAGAAAGAUCCAUGGAAAGCUGGCUGGUGCUUGUGUUCUGCAGCAUCAUAGCCAUUUUGGCGGCGACCUCGAGUGCGUACUGCUGAAAUAAUCGCGACCUUGGAUGCUAGCCAUUGGAUUGCACAUUAUGAUUACGGAGUUGUGUAUUUUAUUAAGAUGAAUGGAGUUAAAGCGUGUGAAACAUCCAGUGUAUCUGUACGUUCUAGAUGACCUCGAAAAAACGUAUUAGCAUCUGUUCCGCCCUAAUAGCGACACUACUGUUUGCGCAAACCUUGGGCUGUAGUCCGGCGGAGAGGAGGACAAAACAAGACGAAGAGGACAUUUUGCUGUGGAACGCAGUGCGAGGCGCCCAAACAGAAAGCGUUGAUGGUCGUAUUGAGCUACCCCAAAACCAGUCUUCUACACCCUUACCGGAUACCGUGCGUAUUUUGACGGGAGAGACCGCCGUAUUCCGCUGCUAUCACUAUAAUCCUCACAAGCUACUGUGGCGUCACCAGGAUAACCUGAUUAAAGGAACUGCGCCCGUGGUAGUACAGGACCAGCAGUACUCCAUACAAACUGUCGACGAAGCCAAUUACCUGUCUAUACACAAUGUCUCGCGCUUUUCCGCCGGCAGCGUGGAGUGCCUCCGUCCCUGCGGCGAUGGCCAACGAUGUCCGGUCAAACACUUUACGCUGCGGCCGAAACUGCGCCCGGCCGACGUCUUCAUCGGACACAUGCCCAACGUCACGACGCUCACCGGCGUAGAUGGCACGUUCAAAUGCCAGGUGAACUUCCGCUGCUGUCCCUCCGCGGAGGACCACUUCAUCUGGAAAGUGCGAGGUGGCUUUGUAUAUCUGCCCGAAGGUCAUCUUCUGGAGCGCGUUGUCCACCUGCAGCCAGGCCGAUGGCUGCACGUGCACCGAAAGCAAAACUAUUUGUGCUCGGAGUCUGAGCCGGCAUUCUGCGAGCAGACGUUGUUUGUGUGGGCCCGCCUUCGUUUUGGACCAAAUCCCAGCGUGGUCGAGUGCUGGGCGCGGGCGGACGUCGAUUCGGAGGAAUGGGUAAUACAAAAAGCGUUGCUGGACAUAAUUCGUCCUUGAACGGUCCUUCAUAUUUCGCGCGGACGUUUUUAUUCUAGUGUUUCGAUUGUUAAAUGUUGCUAGCACAGAGCCUGUGAAACCGCAGUGCUCUUUUUCCCGAUUCUGAGCAACGCAACUCUGUUUUUACUACUUUUUAUUUGUUUACGAUCACAUGAUUGUUGGAGCAUGUUCAGCCGACCUGCAUUAUUACGUUCUUGAGUGAUACAGCCUACAGAUAAUGUUGACCGACUCACCCAGUGCGAUUUUGUUUGUGAAGAUAUUGUCUCCAACUAGGCAGCACGAAACCCUUCCCGGGCCCUAUCCAAACCGGUCGUGAUUUUAAGGCAGCGUGGCCAAAAAGUGCAUAUCUGGGAAGAGGAACCUAGCAUACCUAUCUCCAAACGAUCAGAUUGCAUGUUACGGAACGAUUACCAACGGCUUGUCCUUUCGCAUCGGGAACGCCCACUCGCAGUAGAUCGUCAGCGGGGUCAUGGAGUUGAUGCGGGUUUCCAGUACGGUGAAGAGCAGUUCGGCCCUCGAUGGACUGCUGCAGAGGAAGAUCGGAUUCCGCACUGGAGGAAUUGUCGCCGCGUCGGACAACUGCUUAUACUUUCGUCGCUAUUUUUCUCCAACACGAAGGUGGCCAUCCGGGCGUUCAGUAUGCGCCAGGCGACAAUCAA